GUUGGUGUAGUGUCAUUCUUUUGAUAGUUUCUGGUGUGUCUUGGUAGAUAAAUCUAAAUAUUUCUUUAUUUAUAGAUUUUAUAAUGUUUUUUGCUGGUGUAAUAAUUCGGCAUGUGUACCAGAGUUUACCGAGUAUUUUUUGAUGGAUUUAGUUUUGAUCCAGAAGCAGAGCCAGAGGAUUCUAUGUCUUCUAUAAGGUGUGAGUUCACCUUUGAGAUAGAUGUUGUUCAACACCUUCACAAAGUCAUCUCCUAUUAUGUUCCAGAAAGUUAAAUAGAAUGAUGCCUGGAGACUUGUUAUUUUUAAAUUGUUUAGGGCGCUUAGGGCUUCUUCAUUUGUGAUCAAAUGUGAUAUUAGUUCUCUAUCUUCAUUUGUAAUUUGUAAUAGGUUAUUUUUGUUUAAAUAUGUAUCUAUUGUAUAGGGGUUUAUGUGUUGGGAGGUAUACAGAUUCAUAUAGUAAUCAUGUAUGGUGUUUAGCAUAUCUUGCUUAGUCGUUUGUAUGUCCCCAUCGUUGUUUUGAAGUUGUGUUAUCUUUUUAUUACAAGCAUUCUUUUCUUCUGCUAUUUUGUACAUAUCAGUAUUUGAUUUGUCUGUGAUGUUAAUAUCUAAUUUUGACCGAAUAAUGAUUCUUCAUUUUUAUAGUUUUCAAUCUGGGUAAUGUCAAUUUUAAUUUUGUUAAUUCUGUUUUGUUCUGGGUUCCCGUUUUGUUCUUCACCUUCUAGACAGCUAUAGAGGAGUUUUAAUUUUGAGUGUUUGAUUUUAGAUAUAGUUAUACAGAAGGUUUUUGCAAUUGAUUGAAUUUCUUCUUUUCCUUUGUCCCACCAUUCAUUACUGUGACUGAAUUUCGUUUUCUUAUAUUUCCAAAAUUCCCAAAAUUUGGUUAUGGUUGAUUUAUAAUUGUUGUUUGUGAGUAUUGAAUUGUUAAAUUUCCAGAAUCCUGUUCCCAAUCUAUAGCUGUCUAGAUUAAGUUUUAAAGAUAGAAUUUUAUGAUCUGAUUUUGUGUUAGGAUGGUGGUUUAAGUGUGUAACACUAGUUAGUAGGUUAUUAGAUAUGUAUGCUCUGUCAAUUCGACUAGCACUACUCCUAGUAUUAGACCAUGUAUAUAAUAACUUGUCUGGAAAUUUAUUCCUGAAUACAUCUGAUAUUUCUAUGAGUUUUGUGAUAUUGAUUAGUAGGUCAAUAACUAUCUGGGAAUAGUAGGUAUCAUUUUUGGAAUCAAUCUUAUUUUCUGUUAAAUUAAAAGUCGCCAAUUAGAAUGUAGUAUUCUUUCUCAUUAUAGAUAUUCUUUAUAUGAUUGUAUAAAUUUUGAAAGAAAUUUUGUUUUUCUUUAGUUGAACCGGGAGGGCCAUAUAUAUUCAUUACAUUGGUUGUUUUAUCGUUAAUGUUUAAUGAUAUAUGUUGAUACCUUCCUUGUAGUGAAUUUGGAUAUGUAUAUUCUUUAAAUUCAAUGUCAUUACGGAUGAGCAUGCUUGUUCUGAGAUAGUUAUUGUCAAUAGUAUUUGAUAUAAUUUUAUAGUUACAAUCUUGAUAUAUCUUUGAUUCAUUAAUAAUUUUCGUGUUUGACACUGUUUCUUGUAAACAAAGUAUCUCUGGAUAACUGAAUUUAUCUGUCAGGGUGUUUAUUUUAUCAUCAAAGCCUACUUGGAUAUUAGAGGAUAUGAUAUGUAUGCUUAUAGAGAUAAUCAAGAUUUUAACUAUAGACAUUGUAGAAUAAUAAUUGUAUUGUUAUAUAUAAAACUUAUUAUUCAGUUAUUGGAUUUCUCAUUCUCAAUUUUUUAUCUAUUACAUCUUCAUUACUGCUAAUAUUCCUUUUCUUUGUAUUUUUGUUAUCUUGGAUUUUAACAUAGUCUGCACUGGUACACUCA